UUUAAAUAUCUCAACAAUUGCAUGCAUGGCAAUUUAAAUCAUAUUUUCAUAUAAACGCAUUUUCUGGGAAAAACAGUAGUAUAUAGGUAAUACAAAAACAAAACUGCCCACUCACUGAUAAGUCGAUGGGUCGUAACCUCCGUGACGUCCCUGGAUGCGCUUGUCCUCGGGAUAGGUGUCACCUAUAUGCGAAACAACUAUAAAAACGUUAAUUUAAAUACAUGACCAACAAUUCGAAAUAACUUCUCAUACGAUGCUCAAUUUGGGUAUAUGAAUAUACCACAUCGACCUACUCGACGUCACGGACGUCGAGAAAUUUUUAGAUAAAUUUUUGGAGGCCGCACGCGCCCCCACGCGCCGGGACAGGCACGGGGACACGCGCCCCCACACGCAUCAUCCCUAACCUCGGCUCGCCGGACUGAACUUUUCGAUGGCCGGUUUCCGGCCAACUUUGAAACUCCUUGUUCUCCUUCGUUUCUCAACCAUUUUCUUCGUACUUUAUACCAAAAUGAAGCCCCAAACAUGUAGAUUCACGAUACACUACUUUUAAGUUCCAAAAACAACUAAAUCUCACCGGAAAAUUCCAAGCAAAACCGGCCAAAAUCGAACCUAAUGAUCUCGACGUCCAAACCUUCAAACGAAGCACUCCGAGCUUCCUUGGGACCUCACUAAGCUCACUAUAAGCUUAAAAUUCCCUGAAACACAACAUUUCAUGUGUGCAUGAACAGUGACCAAAAAUGAGGGUUCGGGUUUCACGUUAUAUCGAAGGUUUCACUAUCUAAAAUUAGUACCAUUCAACUCAGGACGACAAAAGGAUGAAGAAUCUGACCUCCAUAGCUUCGAUCCGCUGAGUUUUGGAGGGUUUUGGGUGAGGUCCGUACGAUAUGGGUGAGAGAGAGUGAGAGAAUCGUGAGGGAGGAGAGAGAGAGAGAGUGAUACGGGGAAGAGGGAGAGAACAGGGAGUGUGUGAGGUGCCCAACACCAACCCUCACCAUCCAUUUCAUCUAAUUCCCUAACCACAAAAUUAACAAAAGCCAAAAUUUUAAUCCAAAACUUAUAAUAAGUUAAACCAAAUAACGUCACACACACAUACCUUAAUACCCGCUAAGGGUAAAUCUGUCAUUUCACGUCCCCAAUAUAAAAUCCCGGGACGGGCUGUGACAGUAACACUUGAGCAAUCAUUAGUUACGAUCUAAUAGUAUAUCUUUCAACUUAAAAAUAUGUGAUUUUGUAAGUAAUUGAUUGUCCUAAUAGAUACGGUAUUCUUUUUUGACCUACUAUGCUCCGAAUUUAAACUCUUGCUCAUCUUCGUUUGUAGUCAAAUUAAAUGUGAGAUUUUAGAUUAUACUCCACUAAAUAACAAACUCGAUCAAUAGUAUAUAAAAGAAAAAAGUAUCACUUGAAAGAAAAAGAAAAAGAUUUCAUCAUUAGUUUUUUGCUAGGAAAAAAACUUCAUUAAGGUAAGUAAAUAACUCGGAAACACCCAGAACCUAUACAAUCAAAUAAAAUCGCACACUGUGCCUCCCUAGGAAGACCCUAUCCCAUAUACAAAUGUUUUCAACGUUAUGACCAAUACAAAGGCUGUCAUGCACGGACACAUUUUUAGGUUUCUGUCCGAUAUGUUGGUUCCAAUUCCCCCAGAAGAAAAGAAGAAAGGGUUGUCAUGCAUUUUCCAUAUCUUAAAUUAUGACUGCUUUACUUUUCCUUACAAAAUCAAAGUAGGUAUUGCAUGAGAGAGGAUCUUCGUCGGAGGUAUUGCAUGAGAGAGGAUCUCCGUCAGAUCUUUUUUGUGAUGAUUUCAUAGAUUUUCCAAU
rnacentral:lncRNA from 1 species